rnacentral:rRNA from 1 species
GUCUACAGUCGUAGCACCCUGAAUGCGCCCGAUCUCGUCUGAUCUCAGAAGCGAAGCAGGGUGGGGCCUGGCUAGCACUUGGGUGGGAGGUAUGAACAUGCUAGGUGGCUGUACC